AUUGAACGCUGGCGGCAGGCCUAACACAUGCAAGUCGAACGGUAGCACAGAGAGCUUGCUCUCGGGUGACGAGUGGCGGACGGGUGAGUAAUGUCUGGGAAACUGCCCGAUGGAGGGGGAUAACUACUGGAAACGGUAGCUAAUACCGCAUAAUGUCGCAAGACCAAAGAGGGGGACUUUCGGGCCUCUUGCCAUCGGAUGUGCCCAGAUGGGAUUAGCUAGUUGGUGAGGUAAUGGCUCACCAAGGCGACGAUCCCUAGCUGGUCUGAGAGGAUGACCAGCCACACUGGAACUGAGACACGGUCCAGACUCCUACGGGAGGCAGCAGUGGGGAAUAUUGCACAAAGGGCGCAAGCCUGAUGCAGCCAUGCCGCGUGUAUGAAGAAGGCCUUCGGGUUGUAAAGUACUUUCAGCGGGGAGGAAGGCAAUGCGGUUAAUAACCGUGUUGAUUGACGUUACCCGCAGAAGAAGCACCGGCUAACUCCGUG
rnacentral:rRNA from 1 species